CGAAAGCCUGACGGAGCAACGCCGCGUGUGGGAAGAAGGCUCUUGGGCUGUCAACCACUUUUCUCAGGGAAGAAGUCCUGACGGUACCUGAGGAAUCAGCCUCGGCUAACUCCGUGCCAGCAGCCGCGGUAAUACGGAGGAGGCAAGCGUUAUCCGGAAUUAUUGGGCGUAAAGCGUCCGCAGGUGGUCUGGCAAGUCUGCUGUCAAAGACCGGGGCUUAACUCCGUUAAGGCAGUGGAAACUGAAUAGCUAGAGUGCCGUAGGGGUAGAGGGAAUUCCCGGUGUAGCGGUGAAAUGCGUAGAGAUCGGGAAGAACAUCGGUGGCGAAAGCGCUCUACUGGACGGCAACUGACACUCAGGGACGAAAGCUAGGGGAGCG
rnacentral:rRNA from 1 species